GACCUAAACCCUACCUAAAAAUAGGGCAUGGUCGCAAAUACUACAUGAAUAUAGAGAUGGCUACGCCGUCUCUGGUAUUAUUCAUGUAGUCAACAAUCGAAAGGUUGUUGGAUCCCGAAAGGGAUC
rnacentral:sRNA from 12 species